rnacentral:rRNA from 1 species
AUGAUUGUAAAACAUCCAAGAAUGAUAAUAAAACGCCAUGAAUACUUCAUAAAUUAUAGAUACGUUGGAGACGUAUUAUUCAUCCACGGUGUCUCCCUCCUGCCUCCACCAGCUACUGUUCAUCCACGGGGCUCCUGUUCAUCUAGCCUCCACCGGCUACUUUUCAACCACCCCUCCACGGGCUACUGUUCAUCCAGCCCUCCACGGGGUCCUGUUCAUCCACCCCCAACCGGCUCGAUCGGGGUCCUGUUCAUCCAGCGGCAACGACCUCUACUACCAUGGGGUCCUGUCCAUCCAACCCCCACAGGGAACUGUUCAUCCAACCCCCAACAACGCUCAUUGUUCAUCAAGAGGCAGAGGUUCGAUCGGCUUCAGUUAGCAGCAGUAGCGAAGGAAUCGCUCGAUCAGGUUCAGUUAACAGCUAGGGAUCGAUCGAUCGCUCGGGUUUAG